AAGCGUUGUUCGGAAUUAUUGGGCGUAAAGCGCGUGUAGGCGGCUCCUUAAGUCUGAUGUGAAAGCCCUGGGCUCAACCCGGGAAGUGCAUUGGAAACUGGGGAACUUGAAUACGGGAGAGGGUAGUGGAAUUCCUGGUGUAGGAGUGAAAUCCGUAGAUAUCAGGAGGAACACCGGUGGCGAAGGCGGCUACCUGGACCGAUAUUGACGCUGAGACGCGAAAGCGUGGGGAGCAAACAGGAUUAGAUACCCUGGUAGUCCACGCCGUAAACGAUGAGAACUAGGUGUUGCGGGUAUUGACCCCUGCAGUGCC
rnacentral:rRNA from 1 species